rnacentral:lncRNA from 1 species
UUCUUCUGCACAAGGAGUGGCAGCUGAAUGCUCUUACCAUUACUCAUGCAUCUAGCUCAUGUGAUAUUUAAGUUGGUGUUUAUUGAUUUGAUGAAAGGGAAAGUGCCUCGGGCAAUUAUCUAAUAAUUGGAUGGUCCAGAUUCAGUUAAAAAUAAAAGAUAGGCAUCUAUGACUGAUAGCCCCAAUUCCCAUCUCUCCUCACCUAAUAUCCAUGUUAAACCCUCUGAUGGCACAAAAGAAGGUCCUACCACAUUUCCUCUCUCAUGUUCAGGCCUUGGCUCAUCACUGUUUCCAUCAGGGGAUAACUUAUAUGGUUAUCUUCCUUUUGGCUACAUUAGUAGGAUCCAUUCUUCGUAGAAACCAUGAAGGAGGAGGCCCAGCAGGAAGGUAAUAUUCAGUGCCUUAAAACACAACUCAACCAAAGUACUCAGAUUUUGGCCGAGGCGAGUUUCUCGGCCAAAUAAUUACUAAUAUUUGCUUACAGCUGAAAAUCCGAAUUUCAGUUUUGGCCGAGGCGAGUUUCUCGGCCGAAUAAUUACUAAUAUUUGCUUACAGCUGAAAAUCUAAAUUUCACAAGUUGUAGCCGGCUCAUUGCCAUGUAAAUUCUACCGGUGACGGGUAUAUUAUUGAUUGCACAACUUAUAUUGCCUGACUUUGGACGAGCAGCACAUGUUAUCUGCUCAUUCUCAUCCUCACUGACACCACUUGCUUUGAGACUCAUCACUUUACUUAAGUUGAAGCACCUGGAGCAAGCUCACCAGCAUAUGUUUCCUUAGGAUCAGAGAGUGAAUACUAGAGGAUGAUCGAGACAUCGGUGAAGGUGUUGAUGCCUUCUCUUAAAGGCUCGGAUUCUUCCUCAUGCUUUUCAGAAUCUUCAGAUGAUACAUCAGAAGCACCAUUGUUUUUGCUCCCUUCUCUACAGUCCCCAACCCAAAUAAUAACUCCAAUACUCGCUGUGUCUUUCACGCCCAAAGUGUUCACUCCUAUACCCAACAGGAUAUUCUGAUGUCAAUUUUGACGACUCUGACAGAGAUGGAGAGAGCUAUCGUGAUUUAUACUCAGAUAUUUUCCUGUACAAGUAUAGUGAAAAGUAGGUCUGGCAACGGGUUGGGUAUGGCUGAACUCGGACCCGGACCUGAAUGUAUUCGGGUCCCAAAGUUGGACUCAUACAUGUACCCGUCAGUUCAUGGGUCUAUCUCGUCGGAUCACGGGUGUAGCUGGAUCCAUUACCACCAUUAUUAUGAUUUUUUUUUUUUUAACCUUUUUUAACUAUCAUAUACGAUUAUUAUUGACAACAAGAUCAC